rnacentral:rRNA from 1 species
UACGUAGGGUGCAAGCGUUGUCCGGAAUUAUUGGGCGUAAAGAGCUCGUAGGCGGUCUGUCGCGUCGGCUGUGAAAACCCGUGGCUCAACCCCCGGGCCUGCAGUCGAUACGGGCAGACUAGAGUGCGGUAGGGGAGACUGGAAUUCCUGGUGUAGCGGUGAAAUGCGCCAGAUAUCAGGAGGAACACCGGUGGCGAAGGCGGGUCUCUGGGCCGUAACUGACGCUGAGGAGCGAAAGCGUGGGGAGCGAACAGG